ACAGGGUUCUCCUGGUGAAAGGGGUUCUGCUGGCUCAGCUGGUCCAAUAGGCCUGUCUGGUAGACCUGGCCCUCAGGGUCCCCCAGGACCCUCUGGAGAGAAGGGAGCGCCUGGUGAGAAAGGACCUCAAGGUCCUGCUGGUCGCGAUGGUGUUCAGGGUCCUGUUGGUCUGCCCGGGCCUGCUGGACCUCAGGGUCCACCUGGAGAGGAUGGUGACAAGGGAGAGGUUGGAGAGCCUGGUCAGAAAGGAAGCAAAGCCGACAAGGGAGAACAGGUACACUAUGGGAAUCAAAUUCAUGUCUUACUUGCACACGCAU
rnacentral:lncRNA from 1 species